UACGAAGGGGGCUAGCGUUGUUCGGAAUUACUGGGCGUAAAGCGCGCGUAGGCGGGUUCUUAAGUCAGGGGUGAAAUCCCGAGGCUCAACCUCGGAACUGCCUUUGAUACUGAGAACCUAGAGUCCGGGAGAGGUGAGUGGAACUCCUAGUGUAGAGGUGAAAUUCGUAGAUAUUAGGAAGAACACCAGUGGCGAAGGCGGCUCACUGGCCCGGUACUGACGCUGAGGCGCGAAAGCGUGGGGAGCAAACAGGAUUAGAUACCCCAGUA
rnacentral:rRNA from 1 species